GACGAACGCUGGCGGCGUGCUUAACACAUGCAAGUCGAACGGAAAGGCCCUGCUUUUGUUGUGUGCUCGAGUGGCGAACGGGUGAGUAACACGUGAGUAACCUGCCCUUGACUUUGGGAUAACUUCACGAAACUGGGGCUAAUACCGCAUAGGAUCUCCUGCUCCAUGGGGUUGGUUGGAAAGUUUCGGCGGUUGUGGAUGUACUCGCUGCUUAUCAGCUUGUUUGGGUGGUAGUGGCUUACGAAGUCUUUGACGGGUAGGCGGCCUGGGAGGGGUAACGGCGACAUUGGGCCUGAGAGAGGGCGCAGACUGGUACGUGACGCAGUAGUGGGGAGUAUUGCAGAAUGGGGGGAAGUGUGAGGUAGCAACGUCGCGUGCGGAAUGCUGGGUUUUGGGUGGUAAACAGCUUUGGAAGGUGACGAAGCGUGAGUGACGGUAAUUGGUAAAGAAGCACCGGCUAACUACGUG
rnacentral:rRNA from 1 species